GAUUUAUCUACAUUUCAUCAGUUAUUGAUAGUGAUGAAAACGUACCCUCAACGAGGUCAGGGCUCAGCAGUCUCUAUAAGGAGGCUAUGAGUGCAUCAAGAUUGCUGGUAGUCUCCAGAGUGUCAAACCAGAAGGUCCUUCCUUGGAUGGUUUCUUCAACAGGAGCAAUACGAUGCUUUGACACUGUUUCACUUAGCCAAAAACUUUCACUCCAUCGGCAUGCCAAGACACCUAUCCUGAUUCAUGUUUUCUUAUGGGACCGAGCAUUGGCUUCUCCAAGUACAGGAAGUGCUAGGCUUAGGUCUGUCUCUCCUCCGGUCAUGUCAUUGCCACCAGAAAUUCAAUUGGCACGCCAUCCUAAUGAAAAUCAAAUACUACCUCUACCUCUACCACCUGAAGUUGCGG
rnacentral:misc_RNA from 1 species